rnacentral:rRNA from 1 species
GACGAACGCUGGCGGCGUGCCUAAUACAUGCAAGUAGAACGCACAGGAUGCACCGUAGUUUACUACACCGUAUUCUGUGAGUUGCGAACGGGUGAGUAACGCGUAGGUAACCUGCCUGGUAGCGGGGGAUAACUAUUGGAAACGAUAGCUAAUACCGUAUAAGAACAUUUACUGCAUGGUAGAUGUUUAAAAGGUGCAAGAGCAUCACUACCAGAUGGACCUGCGUUGUAUUAGCUAGUUGGUGAGGUAACGGCUCACCAAGGCAACGAUACAUAGCCGACCUGAGAGGGUGAUCGGCCACACUGGGACUGAGACACGGCCCAGACUCCUACGGGAGGCAGCAGUAGGGAAUCUUCGGCAAUGGGGGGAACCCUGACCGAGCAACGCCGCGUGAGUGAAGAAGGUUUUCGGAUCGUAAAGCUCUGUUGUUAAGGAAGAACGUGUGUGAGAGUGGAAAGUUCACACAGUGACGGUACUUAACCAGAAAGGGACGGCUAACUACGUGCCAGCAGCCGCGGUAAUACGUAGGUCCCGAGCGUUGUCCGGAUUUAUUGGGCGUAAAGCGAGCGCAGGCGGUUAGAUAAGUCUGAAGUGAAAGGCAGUGGCUCAACCAUUGUAGGCUUUGGAAACUGUUUAACUUGAGUGCAGAAGGGGAGAGUGGAAUUCCAUGUGUAGCGGUGAAAUGCGUAGAUAUAUGGAGGAACACCGGUGGCGAAAGCGGCUCUCUGGUCUGUAACUGACGCUGAGGCUCGAAAGCGUGGGGAGCGAACAGG